rnacentral:tRNA from 1 species
GGCCUUAUGGUCUAGUAGUAUGAUUCUCGCUUUGGAGAGGUCCGGGGUUCAAUUCCCCGUGAGGCCC